rnacentral:rRNA from 1 species
GGGUCAGUAGGUUGGUCGUGCCACCGGUACGUACUGGUCUCACUGAUUCCUCCUUCCUGAAGAAUCGUAGUGCCAUUAAUUUGGUGUUGCGGGGAAACAGGACUGUUACUUUGAAAAAAUUAGAGUGUUUAAAGCAAGCUAACGCUUGAAUACAUUAGCAUGGAAUAAUGAAAUAGGACGAUCGAUCCUAUUUUGUUGGUUUCUAGGAUUGACGUA